AGGGCGCAUGGCGGAUGCCUUGGCUCUCGGAGGCGAUGAAGGACGUGAUAAGCUGCGAUAAGCUUUGGGGAGGGGCAAAUGACCUUUGAUCCAGAGAUUUCCGAAUGGGACAACCCAAUAUCUUGAAGAGGUAUUAUCUUACUAUGUAAGAGGCUAACGCAGGGAACUGAAACAUCUUAGUACCUGCAGGAAAAGAAAAUAAACAAUGAUUCCCCCAGUAGUGGCGAGCGAACGGGGAACAGCCCAAACCAUCCAUGUUACGGCAUGGGUGGGGUUGUAGGACUACGCCGUUGCAUGAAGACAUCAGAGAAGAACUUUCUGGAAAGAAAGACCAUAGAGCAUGACAGUUGCGUAUUCGAAUGUUGUCGAAGCAUAGUAGUAUCCUGAGUAGCGCGGAGCACGAGGAAUUCUGCGUGAAUCUGCCGGGACCAUCCGGUAAGGCUAAAUACUCCCGAGAGACCGAUAGCGAACCAGUACCGUGAGGGAAAGGUGAAAAGCACUUCGAACAGAAGAGUGAAAUAGUUCCUGAAACCGUGCGCCUACAAGCGGUCGGAGCUCGUUAAUGAGUGACGGCGUGCCUUUUGCAUAAUGAACCUACGAGUUGCCUUUGCCGGCAAGGUUAAGUGUGACGACACACGUAUCCGAAGCGAAAGCGAGUCUGAACAGGGCGUAUAGUCGGCAGUGGCAGACGCGAAACCAAGUGAUCUACCCUUGGCCAGGUUGAAGGCUGGGUAACACCAGCUGGAGGACCGCACCAAUAAGCGUUGAAAAGCUUCUGGAUGAGCUGAGGGUAGGGGUGAAAGGCUAAUCAAACUUGGAGAUAGCUCGUACUCCCCGAAAUGCAUUUAGGUGCAGCCUUGCGGGUUACUGAUGUGAGGUAGAGCGACUGAUAAGAUGCGAGGGCUUCACCGCCUAUCAAGUCUUGACAAACUCCGAAUGCGCAUCAGUUCUACCGCAGGAGUGAGGGCAUGGGUGCUAAGGUCCGUGCCCGAGAGGAGAAGAAUCCGGACCACCUGCUAAGGUCCCGAAAUGACAGCUAAGUUAAACUAACGAAGUCUGACUGCUAAGACAGCUAGGAUGUUGGCUUGGAAGCAGCCAUUCAUUUAAAGAGUGCGUAACAGCUCACUAGUCGAGGAGUCGGGCGUGGAUAAUAAUCGGGUAUGAAGUUGUCUACCGAAGCAGUGGGAUCAUUAAUAUGAUCGGUAGGGGAGCAUUCCAGUCAGCGUCGAAGGCGUACCGUGAGGUAUUCUGGAGCGUCUGGAAAAGCAAAUGUAGGUAUAAGUAACGAUAAAGGGGGCGGGAAACCCCCUCGCCGAAAGACUAAGGUUUCCUGAUCAACGCUAAUCGGAUCAGGGUCAGUCGGGUCCUAAGGCUCAGCCGAACGGCGAUGCCGAUGGCAGAAACGGUUAAUAUUCCGUUACUACCUUCAGGAGUGACGUGGAGACGCAGUAGUGACAGUGCCGCCAUCUGACGGAAUAGAUGGUUGAAGGGUGUAGGAGUCGAUCAUGGCAGGCAAAUCCACCAUGAGAUCCGAACCUGAUAGUAUGCCGCGUCCUUCGGGACAAGGCAAUAGUGCGCGUAAGCAUGCUGCCGAGAAAAUCCGCUAAACUUAAUCCUGCAGGUACCCGUACCGCAAACGGACACACGUAGUCGGGAUGAAUAUUCUAAGGCGCUUGAGUGAUUCACGGUUAAGGAACUAGGCAAACUGACCCUGUAACUUCGGGAUAAAGGGUCCCUACCCUUUUAUGGGAGGGCGCAGAGAAUCGGUCCAGGCAACUGUUUAACAAAAACACAGGGCUGUGCCAAAUCGAAAGAUCCAGUAUACAGCCUGACACCUGCCCGGUGCUGGAAGGUUAAGAGGAGAUGUCAUCGAUAAGAGAAGCGUUGAAUUGAAGCCCCAGUAAACGGCGGCCGUAACUAUAACGGUCCUAAGGUAGCGAAAUUCCUUGUCGGGUAAGUUCCGACCUGCACGAAUGGUGUAAUGAUCUGGACGCUGUCUCAACCGUGAGCUCAGUGAAAUUGUAGUAUCGGUGAAGAUGCCGAUUACCCGCGAUGGGACGAAAAGACCCCGUGAACCUUUACUAUAGCUUAUCAUUGAAUCUGGGCACGUGAUGUGUAGGAUAGGUCGGAGGCUUUGAAGCAGGUACGCCAGUAUUUGUGGAGCCGCUGUUGAAAUACGACCCUUUAUUUGUUUGGAUUCUAACCCGUGGAACGGGGACAUUGAUUGGUGGGUAGUUUGACUGGGGUGGUCGCCUCCAAAAGCGUAACGGAGGCUUCUAAAGGUGCCCUCCGGCCGAUUGGUAACCGGCCUUAGAGUGUAAUGGCAUAAGGGCGCUUGACUGGGAGACUAACAAGUCGAUCAGGUAGGAAACUAGAGCAUAGUGAUCCGGUGUUUCCGUAUGGAAGGGACAUCGCUCAAAGGAUAAAAGGUACUCCGGGGAUAACAGGCUGAUCCCUCCCAAGAGCUCAUAUCGACGGAGUGGUUUGGCACCUCGAUGUCGGCUCGUCACAUCCUGGGGCUGGAGAAGGUCCCAAGGGUUGGGCUGUUCGCCCAUUAAAGUGGCACGCGAGCUGGGUUCAGAACGUCGUGAGACAGUUCGGUCUCUAUCUAUCGUGGGCGUAUGAAAUUUGCGUGGCUCUGACACUAGUACGAGAGGACCGUGUUGGACAGACCUCUGGUUUGCCGGUUGUGCCGCCAGGUGCAUUGCCGGGUAUCUAAGUCUGGAUCGGAUAAGUGCUGAAAGCAUCUAAGUACGAAGCCGGCCACAAGAUUAGAUUUCUCAGGGUCGUUGUAGACUACGACGUUGAUAGGAUGCAGGUGUAAAGGUAGAGAUACCAAAGCCGAGCAUUACUAAUUGCCCGUUCACUUUCCU
rnacentral:rRNA from 1 species